rnacentral:tRNA from 1 species
GGAGGGAUGGCCGAGUUGGUGAAGGCAGUCGCCUAAUAAGCGACCAAAACGCUUUGCGUUUCGCGGGUUCGAGCCCCCGCUCCCCUA